UAUGCUUAGCCUUAAACCCAGAUGUACCCUUACAUUUACAUCCGCCAGGGAACUACAAGCACAGCUUAAAACCCAAAGGACUUGGCGGUGUCCCAGACCCACCUAGAGGAGCCUGUUCUAGAACCGAUAACCCCCGUUAAACCUUACCACUUCUUGUUUUCCCCGCCUAUAUACCGCCGUCGUCAGCUUACCCUGUGAAGGCCCAACAGUAAGCAAAAUGGGCUCAUCCAAAAACGUCAGGUCGAGGUGUAGCGUACGAAGUGGAAAGAAAUGGGCUACAUUUUCUAUUAUAGAAUAUCACGAACGGCACUCUGAAACCAGUGCCCAAAGGUGGAUUUAGUAGUAAAAAAUAAAUAGAGAGUAUUUUUGAAUUAGGCUCUGAGACGC
rnacentral:rRNA from 1 species